CUACGGGAGGCAGCAGUGGGGAAUAUUGCACAAUGGGCGCAAGCCUGAUGCAGCCAUGCCGCGUGUAUGAAGAAGGCCUUCGGGUUGUAAAGUACUUUCAGCGGGGAGGAAGGGAGUAAAGUUAAUACCUUUGCUCACUGACGUUACCCGCAGAAGAAGCACCGGCUAACUCCGUGCCAGCAGCCGCGGUAAUACGGAGGGUGCAAGCGUUAAUCGGAAUUACUGGGCGUAAAGCGCACGCAGGCGGUUUGUUAAGUCAGAUGUGAAAUCCCCGGGCUCAACCUGGGAACUGCAUCUGAUACUGGCAAGUUUGAGUCUCGUAGAGGGGGGUAGAAUUCCAGGUGUAGCGGUGAAAUGCGUAGAGAUCUGGAGGAAUACCGGUGGCGAAGGCGGCCCCCUGGACGAAGACUGACGCUCAGGUGCGAAAGCGUGGGGAGCAAACAGGAUUAGAUACCCCAGUAGUC
rnacentral:rRNA from 1 species